rnacentral:misc_RNA from 1 species
AAGGAUCAUUACCGAGUGUGUUAGUUGAUUCUGACUCCUCCCACCCUUGUUUUUCAAACAGCUGAGAAGCAGCUUCGGCGGACCGUUUGGCCUUUGUCAGACACCGGCCCCCUUUUUCGGGGGGCGGGUUCGUGUCCGCCGGAGGAACCCCCAACUCUUGAUGUGAUAUCUGAAGUCUGAUACAAACAUAAAAUAAAUUCAAAACUUUCAACAACGGAUCUCUUGGUUCUG